rnacentral:rRNA from 1 species
GUGAACGCUGGCGGUAGGCCUAACACAUGCAAGUCGCACGGCAGCACAGUAAGAGCUUGCUCUUACGGGUGGCGAGUGGCGGACGGGUGAGGAAUACAUCGGAAUCUACUUUUUCGUGGGGGAUAACGUAGGGAAACUUACGCUAAUACCGCAUACGACCUACGGGUGAAAGCAGGGGAUCUUCGGACCUUGCGCGAUUGAAUGAGCCGAUGUCGGAUUAGCUAGUUGGCGGGGUAAAGGCCCACCAAGGCGACGAUCCGUAGCUGGUCUGAGAGGAUGAUCAGCCACACUGGAACUGAGACACGGUCCAGACUCCUACGGGAGGCAGCAGUGGGGAAUAUUGGACAAUGGGCGCAAGCCUGAUCCAGCCAUACCGCGUGGGUGAAGAAGGCCUUCGGGUUGUAAAGCCCUUUUGUUGGGAAAGAAAAGCAGCAGGUUAAUAACCCGCUGUUCUGACGGUACCCAAAGAAUAAGCACCGGCUAACUUCGUG